CCGAGUGCGGGCCCUCGUGGCCCAACCUCCCACCCUUGUCUCUAUACACCUGUUGCUUUGGCGGGCCCACCGGGGCCACCUGGUCGCCGGGGGACAUCUGUCCCCGGGCCUGCGCCCGCCGAAGCGCUCUGUGAACCCUGAUGAAGAUGGGCUGUCUGAGUACUAUGAAAAUUGUCA
rnacentral:misc_RNA from 1 species